rnacentral:rRNA from 1 species
GAGUUUGAUCCUGGCUCAGGAUGAACGCUGGCGGCGUGCUUAACACAUGCAAGUCGAACGGGAAUGCCACGCUGAUGCGAUUUCGGUCAAAUCAUGUGGCAUUCGAGUGGCGGACGGGUGAGUAACGCGUGGGUAACCUGCCUUACACAGGGGGAUAACACCUGGAAACAGGUGCUAAUACCGCAUAAGCGCACAGGGCCGCAUGGCCCGGUGUGAAAAACUCCGGUGGUGUAAGAUGGACCCGCGUCUGAUUAGCUUGUUGGCGGGGUAGGGGCCCACCAAGGCGACGAUCAGUAGCCGGCCUGAGAGGGUGGACGGCCACAUUGGGACUGAGACACGGCCCAAACUCCUACGGGAGGCAGCAGUGGGGGAUAUUGGACAAUGGGGGAAACCCUGAUCCAGCGACGCCGCGUGAGUGAAGAAGUAUUUCGGUAUGUAAAGCUCUGUCAGCAGGGAAGAAAGAAAUGACGGUACCUGACCAAGAAGCCCCGGCUAAC